UGGGGAAUAUUGGACAAUGGGCGCAAGCCUGAUCCAGCCAUGCCGCGUGAGUGACGAAGGCCUUAGGGUUGUAAAGCUCUUUCGGCGGGGAAGAUAAUGACGGUACCCGCAGAAGAAGCCCCGGCUAACUCUGUGCCAGCAGCCGCGGUAAUACGUAGGGACCAAGCGUUGUUCGGAUUUACUGGGCGUAAAGGGCGCGUAGGCGGCAUGACAAGUCACUUGUGAAAUCUCUGGGCUUAACCCAGAACGGCCAAGUGAUACUGUCGCGCUAGAGUGCAGAAGGGGCAAUCGGAAUUCUUGGUGUAGCGGUGAAAUGCGUAGAUAUCAAGAGGAACACCUGAGGUGAAGACGGGUUGCUGGGCUGACACUGACGCUGAGGCGCGAAAGCCAGGGGAGCAAACGGGAUUAGAUACCCACGUAGUCCCUGAGCGGGCUGGCAAGGCGCAU
rnacentral:rRNA from 1 species